CCUACGGGUGGCAGCAGUGAGGAAUAUUGGUCAAUGGGCUUACGCCUGAACCAGCCAAGUCGCGUGAGGGAAGACUGCCCUAUGGGUUGUAAACCUCUUUUGUCAGGGAGCAACGCCGGCUACGUGUAGCCGGACUGAGAGUACCUGAAGAAAAAGCCUCGGCUAACUCCGUGCCAGCAGCCGCGGUAAUACGGAGGAUGCGAGCGUUAUCCGGAUUUACUGGGUGUAAAGGGCGUGCAGCCGGAGAGACAAGACAGAUGUGAAAUCCACGGGCUCAACCCGUGAACUGCAUUUGAAACUGUUGCCCUUGAGUGUCGGAGAGGUAAUCGGAAUUCCUAGUGUAGCGGUGAAAUGCGUAGAUAUUAGGAAGAACACCAGUGGCGAAGGCGGAUUACUGGACGAUAACUGACGGUGAGGCGCGAAAGCGUGGGGAGCAAACAGGAUUAGAUACCCCAGUAGUC
rnacentral:rRNA from 1 species